rnacentral:tRNA from 1 species
GAGGGUAUAGCUCAGUGGUAGAAUGCAUGUUUAGCAUGCAUGAGGCCCUGGGUUCAAUUCCCAGUAACUCCA